rnacentral:rRNA from 1 species
AUAGCCCUACGGGAGGCAGCAGUGAGGAAUAUUGGUCAAUGGGCGAGAGCCUGAACCAGCCAAGUCGCGUGAGGGAGUACUGCCCUAUGGGUUGUAAACCUCUUUUGUCGGGGAGCAAAAGCCGGACGUGUCCGUCUGUGAGAGUACCCGAAGAAAAAGCAUCGGCUAACUCCGUGCCAGCAGCCGCGGUAAUACGGAGGAUGCGAGCGUUAUCCGGAUUUAUUGGGUUUAAAGGGUGCGCAGGCGGAUUUUUAAGUCAGCGGUCAACUCGUGGGGCUAAACCCCAUCCAGCCGUUGACACUGGG